UACGUAGGGUGCGAGCGUUGUCCGGAAUUACUGGGCGUAAAGAGCUUGUAGGCGGUUUGUCGCGUCUGCUGUGAAAAUCCGGGGCUCAACUCCGGACUUGCAGUGGGUACGGGCAGGCUAGAGUGUGGUAGGGGAGACUGGAAUUCCUGGUGUAGCGGUGGAAUGCGCAGAUAUCAGGAGGAACACCGAUGGCGAAGGCAGGUCUCUGGGCCACUACUGACGCUGAGAAGCGAAAGCAUGGGGAGCGAACAGG
rnacentral:rRNA from 1 species